GCCAGUUUCUAAAUUGGUAAAGUAUCCAACGGAGAACCCAAAUCGAAGCUCCUUUCUCCAAAACUCCGAUGGUCUUUAUGUGUGAAAUCCAUGAUCCAAAUGAAACAUUUAUGUUCGUGCAAGGUGACAAAAUGCUUUUGGAAGCUCGAAUUUGAUGGGUACUUCUGUUAUAGUUGAUGUGUGUUGCAUCUUCUCUGUGUUCUUGAAUCUGGAGUUCCAUCUAUCAGAGUACCAGGACGGAUCUACUUCUGUGACCCGUGGCUGAUCGACAUUUCAGCUUUCUCUCGAGUUUCCAGGGUGAGCAUGGCGUCCACUGACCUUGAAGACCCUCCUAUCACAUGUCUUACUUUUAUUUCAGAGACAUAGACAUUAUGAAUUUCCAGACUGUAUUAUUCUCCUUAGAUGCUCUUAUAUUAUUCAGGCUAGACCUUAGGGGUGUUUAUUGUCUUCCGCACUUUUACUACUAUAUAUAUAUAUGUCGUGAGACUU